rnacentral:tRNA from 1 species
CAGACGGUAGCUUAAAUAGAGCGUAGGGUUUGGGACUCUGAGGUUUCGGUUUAUCCGACUCGUCUGA